UUAGCUGGAGGAUGAAGCAAAAAUGGCUUAGCAUUGUUCAUUGGCCUUUAUGAUGUAAUAAUUGUUUCAUCAUAUGCUAUACAGUGCAAUGGGAAAAUAUAGUCCCAGGAGACUUUUUGUAGCAUUCUCUGCUUUUAGUUUUGUCAGGUCUAUCUGGCAAUUCAUAUAUUUCUUUUUUUGGCCUCAAAUCAGGUAGGACUACCCGCUGAACUUAAGCAUAUCAUUAAGCGGAGGAAAAGAAACUAACAAGGAUUCCCCUAGUAACUGCGAGUGAAGCGGGAAGAGCUCAAAUUUAAAAUCUGGCAGCUCUGCUGUCCGAGUUGUAAUCUGUAGAAGCAUUUUCUGCAUUGGACUGUGUACAAGUCUCUUGGAAUAGAGCGUCAUAGAGGGUGAGAAUCCCGUCCAUGACACAGACUACCAAUGCUUUGUGAUAUGCUCUCAAAGAGUCGAGUUGUUUGGGAAUGCAGCUCAAAAUGGGUGGUAAAUUCCAUCUAAAGCUAAAUACAGGCGAGAGACCGAUAGCGAACAAGUACCGUGAGGGAAAGAUGAAAAGCACUUUGGAAAGAGAGUUAAAUAGUACGUGAAAUUGUUGAAAGGGAAACGCUUGAAGUCAGUUGCAUUCUGCAGAACUCAGCCUUGGCCUUUAAUUAGGCCUGGUAUAUUUCCUGCAGGAUGGGUCAACAUCAAUUUUGGCUAGUGGAUAAAGGAGGAGGGAAUGUGGCAUCUGUAAAGGUGUGUUAUAGCCCUCUUUCAUAUACAUUGGCUGGGAUUGAGGAUUGCAGCAUGCCCUUGUGGCCAGGCUUCAUGUCACAUGCUAGGA
rnacentral:rRNA from 1 species